CGGGAGCUAUACAUGCAGUCGAGCGAACAGAUGAUAAGCUUGCUUCUCUGAUGUUAGCGGCGGACGGGUGAGUAACGCGUGGGUAACCUACCUAUAAGACUGGGAUAACUCCGGGAAACCGGGGCUAAUACCGGAUAAUAUUUUGAACCGCAUGGGUCAAUAGUGAAAGACGGUUUCGGCUGUCACUUAUAGAUGGACCCGCGCCGUAUUAGCUAGUUGGUAAGGUAACGGCUUACCAAGGCGACCAUACGUAGCCUACCUGAGAGGGUGAUCGGCCACACUGGAACUGAGACACGGGCCACACUCCUACGGGAGGCAGCAGUAGGGAAUCUUCCGCAAUGGGCGAAAGCCUGACGGAGCAACGCCGCGUGAGUGAUGAAGGUCUUCGGAUCGUAAAACUCUGUUGUUAGGGAAGAACAAAUUUGUUAGUAACUGAACAAGUCUUGACGGUACCUAACCAGAAUGCCACGGCUAACUACGUGCCAUCAGCCGCGGUAAUACGUAGGUGGCAAGCGUUAUCCGGAAUUAUUGGGCGUAAAGCGCGCGUAGGCGGUUUCUUAAGUCUGAUGUGAAAGCCCACGGCUCAACCGUGGAGGGUCAUUGGAAACUGGGAAACUUGAGUGCAUAAGAGGAGAGUGGAAUUCCAUGUGUAGCGGUGAAAUGCGCAGAGAUAUGGAGGAACACCAGUGGCGAAGGCGGCUCUCUGGUCUGUAACUGACGCUGAUGUGCGAAAGCGUGGGGAUCAAACAGGAUUAGAUACCCUGGUAGUCCACGCCGUAAACGAUGAGUGCUAAGUGUUAGGGGGGUUCCGCCCCUUAGUGCUGCAGCUAACGCAUUAAACACUCCCCCUGGGGAGUACGACCGCAAGGUUGAAACUCAUAGGACUUGACGGGGACCCGCACAAGCGGUGGAGCAUGUGGUUUAAUUCGAAGCAACGCGAAGAACCUUACCAAAUCUUGACAUCCUUUGACCGCUCUAGACGAUAGAGUGUUCCCCUUCCGGGGGAAAAAGUGACAGUGAGGCAUGGUUGUCGUCAGCUCGUGCCGGGAGAUGUUGGGAUAAAGUCCCCCACGAGCGCCAACCCUUUAGUCUAGUGCCAUCAUUUAGUUGGGGAACUUUGGCAUUUGUACCGGGCCCGGUUGAACGA
rnacentral:rRNA from 1 species